UUCUUAGCUUAGUGGCGAACGGGUGAGUAACGCGUGAGUAACCUGCCCUGGAGUGGGGGACAACAGUUGGAAACGACUGCUAAUACCGCAUAAGCCCACGAUCCGGCAUCGGAUUGAGGGAAAAGGAUUUAUUCGCUUCAGGAUGGACUCGCGUCCAAUUAGCUAGUUGGUGAGGUAACGGCCCACCAAGGCGACGAUUGGUAGCCGGACUGAGAGGUUGAACGGCCACAUUGGGACUGAGACACGGCCCAGACUCCUACGGGAGGCAGCAGUGGGGGAUAUUGCACAAUGGGGGAAACCCUGAUGCAGCGACGCCGCGUGGAGGAAGAAGGUUUUCGGAUUGUAAACUCCUGUCGUUAGGGACGAUAAUGACGGUACCUAACAAGAAAGCACCGGCUAACUACGUGCCAGCAGCCGCGGUAAAACGUAGGGUGCAAGCGUUGUCCGGAAUUACUGGGUGUAAAGGGAGCGCAGGCGGACCGGCAAGUUGGAAGUGAAAACUAUGGGCUCAACCCAUAAAUUGCUUUCAAAACUGCUGGCCUUGAGUAGUGCAGAGGUAGGUGGAAUUCCCGGUGUAGCGGUGGAAUGCGUAGAUAUCGGGAGGAACACCAGUGGCGAAGGCGACCUACUGGGCACCAACUGACGCUGAGGCUCGAAAGCAUGGGUAGCAAACAGGAUUAGAUACCCUGGUAGUCCAUGCCGUAAACGAUGAUUACU
rnacentral:rRNA from 1 species